UGUUCACUAGAGGCUUCUCUCAAAAUAGCAAGUAUUACGGUGGGUGAACAAAUUACUGUCGAGCAAUUGAUAGAACCGCGCAAAGUCAUGAAGAUAUCUAAGGCAAUGAUCAUGCAUAUAGGAAGCACGUCCGAGACAAGUAGACCGAUACUUUAUGCAUCUACUACUAUUACUCCACACAUCGACCGCUAUCCAGCAUGCAUCUAGUGUAUUGAGUUCAUGACAAACAGAGUAACGCUUUAAGCAAGAUGACAUGAUGUAGAGGGAUAAUCUCAUACC
rnacentral:lncRNA from 1 species